UACCUCCGGCGGUACCCGCUACCCCAUCUUCUUCUUCCCUCCAGUUUGUGUUUAGUCUUUCCUCAACUUCUUCUACAACAUGGACUGCUCGCCGUUCUUUCUUCUAGCGGUCUCUCCUUAGUCGUUGUCCUAGGUGUCCUGUCCUCGUGCUACUCCCGUGAUCGACUUCUGUUGGAUGACUCUGAUAGUGUCCUUCUUGACUAUGAGUUACUGUGUAAAAGUAAGUGACGGGAGGAAGUUAGACUGUAAUAUAUGUUCCAUGUAAGUCCUCUACGUAGUUGCUUUUAAUACCCUUGAUAACUCGUUUUGAGGUCCUGGUUUCGUCUACUAUCAAAGUGGUGUUGUUAUCUGUGGUUCUGUAAACUCCCUCUGAACGUAGUGCUUCACCGUCGUUCACUUCUACCACCUCCUCUUAGAUUAGGUACCCUGUGUACGUACAAGAUGUUGUACUUAGACGUUGUCAACGUCCUCGGACUCCUACAACUGUAUUCUUCUCGUCGUCGAUUUUGUUUCAGUUCGUGUCCGACAUCGUUACUUCUUCCUCUUUAUUUUCUUGGUCUUGUGAGUGAACUUGUUCUGCCUCUACUACCUAAGGAGCUACUUCUUCUGCAACUCUCUAAGGAUGUUUUACUUGUUCUACGACGUAGUCUUCCGUUAGACUACUUGUGGUUGUCAUUAAAGUUCGGUGUAAAUCCGUACGUUAAGUUUUGUUUUCUUCUUCGAGUCCUUAGAUAUUUAAAGAUGAGUUUUGAUCGUCCGAAAAGUCACCGAUGACAUCGUUAGAGGUCUUGUUGUUCGUUUUUCUCCUUGUUACUCCACUGUUCCUAGUGAUACUUCACGUUGUUCACCCCGUUCUGUUUUCUUUAUCUCCGUCUUUCGCAACAUGGGUACUCUUUUUCAUGUCAGUAACGAUUUUGACUAACAUUUCAGCACCACCAGUAUAGUCUCUUUCCUCCAAAAACCCUUUAAUGUUCUGUUGUUGAGCUUGUGUUGGUACUCAAUUGUGGUUUGUCAUCUAAGAAGUCCAGUGUAUUCAUGUACAGUCUACUUCUCUUCACGAACUAUGCCCAAAACUUCGUAUGUUUGGAUCUUUGUUCUUCCUAACAACGACAGGAUCGAAUAAACUCUCCUCCUUACCGAAUAGAUGGGAUGUGUUUCUUCGUACACUGAUUGAUACGUCGUUGUUAUUUGUCUCUAUAGUGUUUGAGAUUGUACUACCUUCAUCACGUUUACAAGUUGUUCUUCGUUCGUCUUUUAGGAUCCAAAACGAUGAGCAAACUCUAACUACCUCUCUUAUUUCACUCUUCGAAUAAGACCUGUCUACAAUCCAGUUCUUACUACAUACUGUAAACGCCACUAACGUAAUCAAAGCUGUGAUGUAAGGACUGUUUAUCUAUGUUGGAUGGCAAACGUGGGAAACAACCUUAUAGGGGCGUACCGUUGUGUAUGAACAAACGAACACGGAAGUAAUAGUUGCUCUGCUUUCUUUGUAAACGAACCAACAAACUUGUUAAGGAUUACCGAUACCCUCCGUUCGUAGGAUAUAGCUAGUAAUGUCUAGUCCUGUUCCGAUACGUUCGUCGUUAACUUUUUCAGAAAGGAUUACGAUAGGUAUCCUCGACGGACAAAGUGUAUUUCUUUUUCCGUCUCCUCUUUCAACCGGGUACAAAGGUUCGAUUGCUUCCGGAUAUACUUCUAAAGGUCCUGUAACACCUGUUGAGAAACUGACACCUUCUUAUACUUUGUGUGACCGUUCUUUACUAACUUUUCAUGUUUCAAGUACUGUAUUUCAUGAAGUCGCUGUACACCCUUUUAUCCUUUUUCAAGUAUGGUCACAUAAAGUUCCUGUUUAAGAAGGGUAAGUAUGUUUGAUGUCGUUCUUCACUUCCUUGUUUAAGGGAGAAGUUUUUUCCCCAACCUCGAUGUAAGUCACGAUGGUCGAAAAACUCUCUCAUACUGGCCUAAGAACUACAACAUGUACUGUUCCUUCUUAUUACACUAGUACAAAGAUCUUUGUUCUUCCAACGUUCGUUUCGAAAGACCAACUUUAUGUCGUAUCUUUCCGUUCGUGUACUCGACAUGUUGGAACCUUAUAAGUCUUUUAAGGUCGUAUUUUACCGUCUGUGUUGUUCCAACGAACAGAAACUCGUUCUUUUUCUGUUUAUGAUGUAUCAAUGGGUUCGACUCUUGAUGGGACAUUUUCUUGCGGCCUUUUCCAAUAUGGAUCACGUUCAACCUGACUUGCUUCUUCUCAUGAGGACGUAGACAACAAGUAAGGUCUUUCUACCUGACAACACGAGUGUGUAUGAUUCUCAUUACUAGGUAGAGUUGUAGCUCUUCUAUGGUCUUUUUAUGUUGUAACUGUCUACCUCCUUUUUACUGAUGUUCGAGCUAUAAUGUUUCUGUGGUCGAUAACGUCAUCUCUUGAGGUGUGAUUCCAUGUUACACAAUCGUUCCUUUAACCACGUACACCGUAGUUAUCGAAGUUUCUUCUUCUCCUUCAUACUUAUAGACGACCCUCUUAACCUGUCCUAUGUCUUUUCUAACGCUCUUUACCUACUACUUCUUCUUUGACCUCUACUCCCAGUCUCACAUUGGUGUUCUUGUCAGUGAAAAUAUGGUUGUUGUCCCCCACUUCUCCCCUGUUGGUGCUGUGACUGUUAUGUUCUGGGUCUAUAUCGGUUUUGUUUCCCAUCCGGUUCCUACGAUUGAUAAGCGCUUCGUUAUUUCGUCUUGUUCAAGAUGUUUACGAGCGUGACACCCAGUGUUUUCGUGUGAUAGUUCUUAACGUCGUUGGAACUGUUCGUUAUGUUAGAUAGGUCUUCGUUGUCUGCUUUCGUCGGCUUGGGAUCCUUACAUUUCUUUCCACCCCUCUUCCUACUGUCGUUCCUUUCCUUGGCUCCUUUCUUCUUCUACCUGCUUAGUCGUUGUUUGUCUCCGAAUCCCCUGUUCUUAGACUCCUCCUGUAUC
rnacentral:rRNA from 1 species